UUCUGCAUUGUAGCAGCCUUGAACAAAGGGCGAUAGAGUUAGGAGGUGUACAGAUAAGGAGAACAGAAAAUGAGCAUCAUAAAAGAAAUGAAAGACAAAAAGGGGAAACGGAGGUGGAGGCUGCUGAGUGCAUAGGAGCUCCUGCACAAGGGGAAACUGCAAGUGGGGAUGGAGGAAGAGAGAGAAGAACAGAAAACUGUGACAAAAGACAUGCACAAAAUAAAAGGUGGAAGAAGAACAGAUCCCCGACUUUUCAGAGCCACUCUGCAAAAAAAGUCAGCUCAUUCAGAUCCCCCAAAUCCAGGGAGAAAUUGCAGAUUGAGAUAAUUUGGGCCACACAAGAAGAAGAGAUGGAAAGCCCAGCAGGAACUUCAGAGCCUCCACCAAAAUGCUUGGCUAGCUGCACCUGCAUGUGAGACUACUUGAGAAGAGGGGAAGUACAUGAAAAUACCUGCUCAGAUCUGGGCCUAGCUGAAAGCCAGGAACGGAUGCAGCCUCUACCUCCUAUGUAAACUGCCAGUCUGAACUGCUUCAUUGCUGAACGAAAUAGCUCUCAUCCCAAUUCCAGCCUUCCUGACCUGGG